rnacentral:lncRNA from 1 species
GGAAACCGAGACGGCCUGGAUGGAAAACUCUUUCAAGGAAGACCCCAGGGCCCUGAACGGAAUUCCGGAUAUUUUCUCUAAAACACUUUGAUCCACACAACUAUUCUCUUUCUUGGUCUGAAUUUUGGCAAACGACAAGCAAGGCAUAGAGAUCGCUUCAACUCGCUACCCGCGGCUCGCCCAGACGUUAGGGUUUUAGGCCGCCGUUAGACUUUGGCCCUGCAGGUCAAAAUCAGCUACUCUAGGCCUGUCUUCUCGGAGGCCAGUAGCAGCACCUGGUCCUCUCCGCGCGGCUUCUCCCGCCGGGUACGCAACCCUGCACCUCUUUCCUGUGACCUGCAGCGAAGCUCGGCGGGGGACCGGGUAUUCAACUGGCCAGGAGUUCUCGAGGCGCAGGUAGUUUUGGAGAAAAGCCUGGCCAUUGUGAAGACAUAGACAUCUUUCUUCUCUGUCCUUCCUUUCAAAGACGGCUGUAAGAGAGCUCUUCAUGAGAAAAUGUCCCAGCAGAAGGCUGGGAUGCAUCAGCCCUCAGAGAAGAAGGGACCUGCUGAGAAGGGAGUGAAUGAGCAGAAGCCUCGGGUUGAGGAAGAAUUCUCUGUAUCCUGCAGUGGGCAAGAGACUUCCCACUAUCAGCAUUAAGUCAUUGCUCGUCAGAGUAGCUUUCAGGGCCUGCAGCCAGCCUCCAUACCUUAAUUGUAGGGCUUUCUCUUAAUACCUUCCUGGAAAUUUCUUCAGAGAAAAAUCUAUAAAAGUUUUAUUAGUAAUGAC